CCCACUACCACGCGCGGUGCGGCCCGACCAACCCACCCCCACCGGCGUCGCCCCUCCCAACCUUCACCGUCGCCGAUGCUGCCCCUCCCAACCUUCACCGCGCCCGGCGCCGCCCCUCCCAAACUUCACCGCCGCCUGCAUCCCUCCGGCGCUGCCCCUCCCAACCUGCAGCGCCGCCUGCAUCCCGCGAAAGCCCCGGCCCCCGGAGAGCCGCGCCCCGAACUUCCGGUCGAAUCUGACCGGAUCCCGGCGAUGUCCUCCGCCCUGGCGACGCGAGCGCUCCCUUUCCUGGCUCCACGCAUCCCCGUGCCAUCCCCUUCCCUGGAUCCUUGACGAGCUCCGACGCCGCGUCAAGGAAGGCCGAGGUCGUCGCCUCAACCGCCACCCCUCCCUCUCCCGCAUCAAAAAGCCCCAGCGACGCGCGCCGCCGCGACGCCGCCCACCAGCCAGAUCAUGUGCCGCCGCCCACCACUAGGACCUCACGCCGCCGCCCACCACCACCGGGAUGUCCCCCUCUGCGCGCGGAUCCGGUCUUGCCCGAGCUCCCCCCGGGAUGGAGGAACACAUGGCAGAGGCACCACCACCGGGAGGAGCAGAACAAGGUGCGCCGGCACCAGGAGCAGCUCACCGCGCCUCACCUGGACACCUCCUCCCUUCUCUUUCCAACAGAGCGUCCCGCAGCCACGCACCCCACCGUCGGCGCCGCUCCUCACCUCUGGCGUCGCCAAGAGCCUACACCACCUCGGGCCUUCUCCCACACAGCCAGUGGCGGCUUCCUCUUCCUCCAGCUGCUCGCGCCCCUCCGCGGAGGACUCUCGCUAUCGCCUUUGCAACCCCUGCCUCAGCAUCCAUCGUAGGUGACCUUCUCUGGCUUGUCUGAUCGACCUUCCCAUCGUCUCUUACUUGAACAUCUGAAUUGUUGCUGCUCCUCUGUGUAAAUCUGCUGCUAGAUGAAGACCAUGUAAAUCUGAACGUUCUAAAUCCGCUACACUACUAUGGUUGCUCUGUGUUGUGCCCUUUUGCUGGGUGAAGCUGUUGUUAUUUGGUAGCUUUGCCAUAGGCUGCUACAGCACUUGGAGCUUGGAAUCGAUUUGUUCAUUAGGUGUGUACUUGGACUGUCGAUAGGUAGCUCUGAUGUUUGUUUCUACAAUAUUGUUUGCAAUUCAGUAAUGUUGGUAUGAAUGCUUCUCUGUUCUUCGUCUUAUAGUAUGUUAAAUAAACAAUUGGGUCUGCAUAAAAAAAGAGUCCCGUUCUAAUUUUGAUUAGCUGUUCAUUUGAUAUGUUGUUAAAAAAGAAUUAUGGAGCAGUUAAACCAGAGCAUCAUCACCAACAGAGCAGUUAAAACAUCCGCUCAUGGAUACAACUAUAGAAGGAGCAGGUGAAUUACUUCUUGUUAGUUAGAACUGAUGCCUUAUUCUUCAGCCUGUUUUCAUCUUGAACUACUGCGUACUUGCUAUUAGAGGAGUGAAACCAGAGCAUGUGGCUGUUUGAUCAGCAGUUAAUUCUUCAUGGGCAUAUGCUCAGUCACUAGCCAGUAGUAGUCCAGUUAUGUUUUCUAAAUCAUAUACAACGUUUUGUCUUAUUUCCCUCACCACUUUCAGGUAAAAAAAGAGAGUUUUUGAUGGCUCAAUCAAAAAUAUGCACUUGCACUAGAAAUACAUGGACUAGUGAUUUGUGGAACUUGAGCUACAGAGAAUUGAGCCCCCACACGCCGCCACCCCAUCCGCCGCUGUGACAAGCAACCCUGGGAUUGCCACGACCUCGGCCAUUACAUACAGUCUAGAAGUGUUCAUUCUAUGGCUAGUAACCUUUUGAUGCCACUGUAUACCACAAUACAUAGGACAGGCUGUUCACAUUAUCACCCCUCGAAAAGCUCCUAACCUAGUUCAGUUGUGUAAAUUCGAUGUCAACCAGGUGCUUGAUAAUUGUUGAACUAGUGUUAUACUUAGUUGAAUUAUAAUAUGUGGGCUCUGCGCUGCUGCCCAACUGCCACACUAGAUUCUGUGUUGAGAGAGUAAAAAGUUAAUUCUUGGUGUUUUGUA